rnacentral:rRNA from 1 species
AGAGUUUGAUCAUGGCUCAGAACGAACGCUGGCGGCGUGCUUAACACAUGCAAGUCGAGUGCGCGGUUGUAGCAAUACAACUGGCGCACGGCGCACGGGUGCGUAACACGUGGGUAACCUGCCCUUUGGUGGGGAAUAACUCCGCGAAAGCGGAGCUAAUUCCGCAUAAGAUCCGCAAGGAUGAAAGCCGUAAGGCGCCGAAGGAGGGGCCCGCGCCCGAUUAGCUAGUUGGUGAGGUAAUGGCUCACCAAGGCAUUGAUCGGUAGCUGGUCUGAGAGGAUGAUCAGCCACACUGGAACUGAGACACGGUCCAGACUCCUACGGGAGGCAGCAGUGGGGAAUCUUGCACAAUGGGCGAAAGCCUGAUGCAGCGACGCCGCGUGGGGGAUGAAGCAUUUCGGUGUGUAAACCCCUUUCGAUCCGGACGAAACCCCGCAAGGGAUUGACGGUACGGAUAUAAGAAGCCCCGGCUAACUACGUGCCAGCAGCCGCGGUAAUUC